rnacentral:rRNA from 1 species
GCUGAAAGAUGGCUUCGCGUCUGAUUAGCUAGUUGGCGGGGUAACGGCCCACCAAGGCGACGAUCAGUAGCCGGUCUGAGAGGAUGAACGGCCACAUUGGGACUGAGAUACGGCCCAGACUCCUACGGGAGGCAGCAGUGGGGAAUAUUGGGCAAUGGGGGAAACCCUGACCCAGCAACGCCGCGUGAAGGAAGAAGGCCUUCGGGUUGUAAACUUCUUUUACCAGGGACGAAGGACGUGACGGUACCUGGAGAAAAAGCAACGGCUAACUACGUGCCAGCAGCCGCGGUAAUACGUAGGUUGCAAGCGUUGUCCGGAUUUACUGGGUGUAAAGGGCGUGUAGGCGGAGAUGCAAGUUGGGAGUGAAAUCCAUGGGCUCAACCCAUGAACUGCUCUCAAAACUGUAUCCCUUGAGUAUCGGAGAGGCAAGCGGAAUUCCUAGUGUAGCGGUGAAAUGCGUAGAUAUUAGGAGGAACACCAGUGGCGAAGGCGGCUUGCUGGACGACAACCGACGCUGAGGCGCGAAAGCGUGGGGAGCAAACAGGAUUAGAUACCCUGGUAGUCCACGCUGUAAACGAUGAAUACUAGGUGUGGGAGGACUGACCCCUUCCGUGCCGCAGUUAACACAAUAAGUAUUCCACCUGGGGAGUACGACCGCAAGGUUGAAACUCAAAGGAAUUGACGGGGGCC